UACAGAGGUCUCGAGCGUUGUUCGGAUUCAUUGGGCGUAAAGGGCGCGUAGGCGGCGAGGCAAGUCGGGUGUGAAAUCUCAGAGCUCAACUCUGAAACUGCACUCGAUACUGCUUUGCUUGAGGACUGGAGAGGAGAUUGGAAUUCACGGUGUAGCAGUGAAAUGCGUAGAUAUCGUGAGGAAGACCAGUGGCGAAGGCGGAUCUCUGGACAGUUCCUGACGCUGAGGCGCGAAGGCCAGGGGAGCAAACGGG
rnacentral:rRNA from 1 species